UACGUAGGGUGCAAGCGUUGUCCGGAAUUAUUGGGCGUAAAGAGCUCGUAGGCGGUUUGUCGCGUCUGCUGUGAAAACGCGAGGCUCAACCUCGCGCCUGCAGUGGGUACGGGCAGACUGGAGUUCGGCAGGGGAGACUGGAAUUCCUGGUGUAGCGGUGAAAUGCGCAGAUAUCAGGAGGAACACCGGUGGCGAAGGCGGGUCUCUGGGCCGAUACUGACGCUGAGGAGCGAAAGCGUGGGGAGCGAACAGG
rnacentral:rRNA from 1 species